rnacentral:rRNA from 1 species
GAUGAACGCUAGCGGGAGGCUUAACACAUGCAAGUCGAGGGGCAGCACGAGGUAGCAAUACUUUGGUGGCGACCGGCGCACGGGUGAGUAACGCGUAUGUAACCUACCCUGUACAGGGGGAUAGCCCGGAGAAAUUCGGAUUAAUACCCCAUAAAGAUAUUGAGAGGCAUCUUUUAAUAUUUAAAGUUUCGACGGUACGGGAUGGGCAUGCGUGACAUUAGCUAGUUGGUAGGGUAACGGCCUACCAAGGCUGCGAUGUCUAGGGGUCCUGAGAGGGUGAUCCCCCACACUGGUACUGAGACACGGACCAGACUCCUACGGGAGGCAGCAGUGAGGAAUAUUGGUCAAUGGGCGCAAGCCUGAACCAGCCAUCCCGCGUGCAGGAAGAAGGCGCUAUGCGUCGUAAACUGCUUUUCCAGGGGAAGAAAACCUGAUACGUGUAUCGGCUUGCCGGUACCCUGGGAAUAAGCAUCGGCUAACUCCGUGCCAGCAGCCGCGGU